UUUUUUUUCUUCUUUUUUUGGCCUUUUUUACAACAUUAAAGAUCAAACACAUAAUUUCACAUAAUUUACCCAUCGUUUAUUAAAAGUGCACAAUAAGAAUUAUAAUCUAUGGAGCACUGGAUUCAGCCAAGUUAUGGUCAAAACGUUGGUACAACGCCGUAUUGAGCGUCUGUCAGGAACACAGAUGAAGCAGCUGAGCCAUAGAUUUCAUCAACCUCUGAUAGCAUAUCGGUUCGUUUUGCGAACCGGCCUUUGAUUCUCGGCCGGGUUUCAGCAUAAGCUUUUCUUGAAGCGUAUCGGAUUGUCUUCUCGAAUUUCCGGUUCU
rnacentral:lncRNA from 1 species